GACGAACGCUGGCGGCGUGCUUAACACAUGCAAGUCGAACGGAAAGGCCCUGCUUUUGUGGGGUGCUCGAGUGGCGAACGGGUGAGUAACACGUGAGUAACCUGCCCUUGACUUUGGGAUAACUUCAGGAAACUGGGGCUAAUACCGGAGAGGAGCUCCUGCUGCAUGGUGGGGGUUGGAAAGUUUCGGCGGUUGGGGAUGGACUCGCGGCUUAUCAGCUUGUUGGUGGGGUAGUGGCUUACCAAGGCUUUGACGGGUAGCCGGCCUGAGAGGGUGACCGGCCACAUUGGGACUGCGAUACGGCCCAGACUCCUACGGGAGGCAGCAGUGGGGAAUAUUGCACAAUGGGCGGAAGCCUGAUGCAGCAGCGCCGCGUGCGGGAUGACGGCCUUCGGGUUGUAAACCGCUUUCGCCGGUGACGAAGCGUGAGUGACGGUAAUGGGUAAGGAAGCACCGGCUAACUACGUG
rnacentral:rRNA from 1 species